AGUGUACAUCCCCUACAUACUGGUCUUGACGAGAAGAGAAAAAUUAAAAAAGCUGACUGAGGAGGUUCUCUUCUGCCCUGUUCAACCAAUCGAGUAAAUGUGGAGGAGUUAAGAUGGGAGUGUUGCCUUGUUAACGUCCAAAAGCGGAAGUCACGUCACGGGCUCUUUUUGGAUUUCCCCUGAAAACCCGAACAUCCGGUUGAUGCAAUAGGGUCCAGCUGCAUUUUCAUCUCUCAGAGCAGUCAUCCCUCAGGUCUCUAUGCUGCCACCUACUGAUAUGUAAUCUCUCAGUGCAUUGAUCUCUCAGGAAAAGUGGGGUUGUCGAAAGGAACCAUAUAAGGAGAAGUGGGGUUUUUCAAGGAGUCUUUUAACACUAGAAGCGCUGGAAUUCCAUAACUACUAGAACCGCCAUGACUUGACAUUUCAGUUAUUAUUAUUAUUAUUUCAAAUAUUGAAUAAUACAUUGUAAAAUGCAUGAAUUUUUUAUAAGUUAAGGUAGCUAACGUUAGCUAGCAUUGACGAAAAACGUAAUGUUACAUACAUGGCUACCGGUAGGUAAUUUUCAAAGACAGCUCACAGUGAAUAUUUAUUUUUAUGAAUAACUGAAAUUCCUUACUGUCAUUUCUGCAGACUAUGACUUACGUCCGAUAACCCAAACGACGUCGAGUGGCAACUUUUGAGACCCCCACUUCUCCUUAUAUAGAGGGCUUGCAGUUGACAGCCAUGUAGGAAGAGCAGCACAUUAAUUAACAGCCGAGUAACAGUACCUAAAACUAGUUGUUUCAUUACCACGGUCAUUUUCUGUAGAGUAUUUGGCUGCUCUAACAAGGCAGGAAAGACAACGAAACAAAAAGAUGUUUACAGAUUCCCCGCAAUCAUGAAAAACCAUUGGUGACACCAAGAUAUGACUCAAGAACUGACAAAAGCGAAGAAACCUUUUUGCCCGUAAAGACCUGAACCCAGACAGCUGUCAGUAACGGGUCUGCUACGAUAAUUUCAUCACUGGUUCACCAGCUGACCUCUAUCAAGACACCCAUGUCGACUGGAUUCCCACUGUGAAGAUGAGCAAUGGUACAGCAGCAUCAGUUUCUACUUCUACUACUUUGUCCUUUUCCAGAUAUGAAAGGAGACAUCCCUCAAUUACACGAGAUGGUUGUUAUAUGCUGUGCUUUGGUCAAUCUGAACAAGUCGGUUGUGCCAUUUGAGUAGAGGAUCUUCACCUUGUCGUCAUGACAAAAGUGCCCCCUUAAACCAUAUGAAUAUCUUUAAAUGUAAUUUGGAACGUGUAAAAGACUAUAGUUUAUGAUAUUGUAAACAUACUGUACUUAGCCUAUAUUGUUGGUUGGGUGAAAUGAAAAGCAUUUUGUCAUCUCUGCUUUGCCUAGCCCCAUUGAAUAAAACGUAUUUCUUAUA